GCCGGGGUAGCUCAGUUGGUAGAGCAACGCUCUUGUAAAGCGUGGGCCGCCGGUUCGAAUCCGGCCCCCGGCU
rnacentral:tRNA from 1 species